rnacentral:lncRNA from 1 species
AUGGAGAGGGGUGGGCUGUGCAAUAAGGGGGGCUCCAGGUGCUGGGAACCCUGCUGCCUGCCCUCCUGGCUGCUGUGUGUGAGGAGCCACCGCAGAGCUGCUCGGCUGCGUGUCCUGGAGCCCUGUCUGUCUGCAGGUUUCAUUACUUCUCAGGCUUGCUCAGUAAAGGCAGGAACAAAAUGCCCGUGCACUGAUGUUGUUGGAGCUGUAAUGUGCUGUGAUGAGCAGCGUCUGAUCUGCAAAACAUUCGCUUUUCCUGAUUGCUUUGUGCUUCCAAUCCUCCACGAGUCGCAGAGCUGGUAA